rnacentral:rRNA from 1 species
AGAGACAGCAGCCGCCGCGGGAAUACGGAGGAUCCAAGCGUUAUCCGGAAUUAUUGGGCGUAAAGCGUGCGUAGGUGGUGGUUUAAGUCCGUUGUGAAAGCCCUGGGCUCAACCUGGGAAUUGCAGUGGAUACUGGGUCACUAGAGUGUGGUAGAGGAUAGUGGAAUUUCCGGUGUAGCAGUGAAAUGCGUAGAGAUCGGAAGGAACAUCUGUGGCGAAGGCGACUAUCUGGGCCAACACUGACACUGAGGCACGAAAGCGUGGGGAGCAAACAGGAUUAGAUACCCCGGUAGUCCCUGUCUCUUAUAC